CCUACGGGUGGCAGCAGUGGGGAAUAUUGCACAAUGGGGGAAACCCUGAUGCAGCGACGCCGCGUGAGGGAUGAAGGUCUUCGGAUCGUAAACCUCUGUCAGCAGGGAAGAACGGUCACUGUGCUAAUCAGCAGUGAAUUGACGGUACCUGCAAAGGAAGCACCGGCUAACUCCGGGCCAGCAGCUGCGGUAAUACGGAGGGUGCGAGCGUUAAUCGGAAUUACUGGGAGUAAAGCGCUCGUAGGCGGUAUGUCAAGUCAAGGGUGAAAUCCCCGAGCUCAACGUGGGAACUGCCUUUGAAACUGGCAGACUGGAGUGUGGGAGAGGUGAGUGGAAUUCCAGGUGUAGGAGUGAAAUCCGUAGAUAUCUGGAGGAACAUCAGUGGCGAAGGCGACUAUCUGGAACAUAACUGACGCUGAGGAGCGAAAGCGUGGGUAGCAAACAGGAUUAGAUACCCCUGUAGUC
rnacentral:rRNA from 1 species